AGGUGAACCUGCGGAAGGAUCAUUGACACACAUCCGUGAGAACAACGCGAACUAUGGAAUGUCCCCGAGGGAUCGCGCUCGGAGGCGCGGUCGGUGUCGUCUCUCUCCCUGCCGGAGUCGGGCGAUAGUGAGAGAGGCGACGCUUUGGGGCCGCCCCACGACCGUGCGGGUGGAGGAGGAAGGAGGGACGCCUUCGACCUCUCUCCCUCGCUCGGGGCGACCCCCCUCCGUCGUGCCCGUUCGGGCGCGCCGCCGCUUUGAUAAACCUUUUGCCCCCCACACACGGGGUGGCACGAGGAACUUAAGAAACUUUCUCCCGUCUGAUAUUCCUCCCCUCGGGAGGAUUGAAACACAAAACGCAACGACUCUCAGCAACGGAUAUCUUGGCUCUUGCAACGAUGAAGAACGCAGCGAAAUGCGAUACGUAGUGUGAAUUGCAGAAUUCCGCGAAUCAUCGAGUCUUUGAACGCAACUUGCGCCCGCGGCUCGUCCAAGGGCAUGCCUGCUUGAGCGUCCCUAAACCCCCCACACCCUUCUCCUUUCUUCGGGGGGAGGGUGGAAUUGGUCGUCCGCGCGCCCGUGUUCCUCUCUUUUGGAGCGCAAGGGAUGCCGCGGUUGGCUGAAAUGUAUCGGUAGCACCGUGCGGCGAUGUUGCUCCGCAAGGGUGGUCCGUCCCCUCGCUCGAGGUGGCGGCUAUUUGCGGGUGCGUCCUCGAGGGUGCGUGUGCCGGAUCGGGCUCUUCGGAGUCGAGUGCUCGUUCCUCGGCGACUCGAAACACAACUCGGACCUCAAAUCAG
rnacentral:rRNA from 1 species